CACCUGACUUAUAUUUCGCGAUCAAAUCUUUCUUAAAUUCUAUAGUUUUGCGCACUAUUUUUCUCUUUUCUUCAACAGGUUUACCACUUCCACUUGCUUUCUUUGGUGC